GAGAGAACGUUAACAAUUAUGAGUUUGUUUAUUUUUUAUGCUGACUUCCAACCAGACCCUGAGUUUUCUCAAGCAAAUGAUUCCAUAUUUUAAGGUAUUGAUACCUUGCAGUCCAGUUUCAUGAAGUUUGUUUUCAAAUAAUACUUCAUCUUUUUAGUUCAUUAAAUAUCCAUUUUACAUGUGACUCAGGGAAAUCCUAGAGCUGGGAUUAGUUUAGGCACAAUGAAGUUUUGUGAAUAAGGAUGAUAACUUAUUGGCUCGCCUUCAAAACAUCAACCUCUACUUUCACUUCCAAGUGGAGCAGCAAGUGACUGGCAUCUUCUUCAAUUUCUUUUGCUUUAACGGGACUACCGAUGUCUGGAGAAUCAAAGCUUUGGAGGAUUCUGGAGGUUGGUUCGAACAAACAACAGUAGAAGAUAUGGAUAUUGUGGUUCAUGCCCACCUUAAUGGUUGAAAAUUCAUCUUCUUGAAUGAUGUCAAGGUACUUAAAAAUGUUUUAAGCUAUAAUUCUCAUGUUUUAGUUCCACUUUUGUAUGCACUUCGGUUAAUGCUAGAGACCUUUCUGCAAGUCCUCCAAACCCGCCGCCAACACCACCACCGAGCCUGCAAUAGUGGUGAAACCACUUCUGUGAGAUUUGAGACUGCAAGAUCGGCAGCGAGGUGGUUGGUCUAACUGAGGAAGAAGUCGGAGAGGAGGGUGGAAAGGGGUUGGGGAUGGGAUCAGACCCAGCGGAGGACAUCGAGCUAAGGAGGGAGAAGGCGCGGAUGAGGGUGGUGGUUGAUGCCUGGGGGUGGGGGGGGGGAUCACGUAUGUGCUCGACACCAGUAGGGAGGGAAGGGUGGGCGAGGAGGGGAAGGGUGAGGGGGCAGACAGAGGGGAUGGUGGUUGAUGGAGUCAAGAAGAGAAAGGUUGGCCUAGGUGACGAGGAUGGUGAGGGAGAAAGCGGCCCCUUAGCAAGGAGCGGGAUGAGGAUGAGGUAUUUGAAGUCCUCAGCAACCACCUGAAAGGUCAUUUUCAUCAUUUUGAAAUUUUUUUCUAAUAUAUUAUUUGGGUCUAAUGGUUUGACUAACAUUUUGUUAAGUCAUAGGUUAAAGUGUUAGAUAAAAAUAAACCUUAGGGAGGUAAGCGUAUGUCUUUGAAACUAUUGAGUGUAAAUGUAAUUUAACCCUAAUCUCAAGGAGGGUUUUGUAAUUUAUUCAAAAAAAA